GGCAGACGGGUGAGUAACAUGUGGGUAUCUACCCUUUGGCCUGGAAUAACACGAGGAAACUUGUGCUAAUACCAGAUAAGUCUUAACGGAGAAAGCUUUAUGCACCAUUGGAUGAGCCUGCACUUGAUUAGUUUGUUGGUGGGGUAAUGGCCUACCAAGACUGUGAUCAAUAGCUGAUUUGAGAGGAUGAUCAGCCACAUUGGGACUGAGACACGGCCCAAACUCCUACGGGAGGCAGCAGUGGGGAAUCUUGCACAAUGGAGGAAACUCUGAUGCAGCGAUGCCGCGUGAGUGAAGAAGGCCCUUGGGUUGUAAAGCUCUUUCGUCGGGGAAGAAAAUGACUGUACCCGAAUAAGAAGGUCCGG
rnacentral:rRNA from 1 species